GAGGAAGCCCCCUGUUGAAGGUAGCUCCAUGCGAACUUUCUAUCAAGAUUGUGGCAGAAUGACCAGGAGCUGGGCACAAGUCACCAGAUCCCCCAGAUGGCCAAGAGGCUGUGGAGCUACCUGCCUUUAGUGGACCACAUGGUCUUGGGCAGUGACCAUCCCAGUAGCAACCACGAUAGACCAAAGACCAAACAAUCUUUCCUAGGCUCUGUGUGGUGCCAGGAUGUCUGCCAGCAAGUUCCGACCCAAAGCCUUCCAGAUUCAAGGGCCCCGGAGAAUGUGGAGGCUCUCGCCAAAGUCUCUGCGAAAUCUCACUAUCAUGUGGACUCCACUGGGCCACACAGCCCUGUCCUAAUCUCUCAAUGGGGGAAUGGAAUGCUCUUUUGGAACAGAGAUAAUUUCCCCAGAAAUGCGUAGUAUUCGAUCAAGACACAAUUGAUUUCCAGUAGUAGAAAUGAUCACUCCAAACAUUGCGUUUUAUUGCCUUAUUGGAUAGUAUACUGAUUAUACACAGCUAUUAGCAAAUUCAUGUGAUCAUUCCUGAUAUACUCUGUAUAACCCUGCUUUUCAUCCACUUCACCGGUCUAACAAAUCUCACUUAACGUAAUUCAUUAAUGGUUGGAGUAUGUCUUUGAUACGUUCAUUUUAUAUUUGUGUGAAAGUCACAUUUUUAACUUUUCAAAAACUGUAUUUUAGGAAGUGUGAGUCGGCUACUUUGUUCCUUUUAUUUACAAUCCUCAUUUUCCUUUAAAACCACCUGGAUAAUAUGUAUCCUCGGGAAAAUUGUAGCUUUAAAUUUGCCGAAUAUUUCAAACAACUUGCCAUCCGGGUUAGUCAGACUUGAACUUGGAUCCUCCAGCCCCCCUGCCAAGCUGCUCAGGCAGAUGCUGUGCAGGACAGAGAUGAGUCAGCCCUACAAAGUCCUGAGCAAAUUGUAGGU